rnacentral:rRNA from 1 species
GUUAAUCGGAAUUACUGGGCGUAAAGCGUGCGCAGGCGGGUUGGUAAGUCCGUUGGGAAAGCCCCGAGCUCAACUUGGGAAUUGCAGUGGAUACUGGCAGGCUGGAGUACGGUAGAGGAAGGUGGAAUUCCCGGUGUAGCAGUGAAAUGCGUAGAUAUCGGGAGGAACACCAGUGGCGAAGGCGGCCUUCUGGACCAGUACUGACGCUCAUGCACGAAAGCGUGGGGAGCAAACAGG